rnacentral:lncRNA from 14 species
CAGACAGAAAAUUGAUCCUAGCAAAAAUCCUUUUCCCUUUCUAUCUCUUCUCAUUUCAGCCCCUCAAAGCCAGCCAUGAUCCCAGGGAGCUGAGCCCUUCACCAGUGCAGGCUUUCAGCACAUGCCGAUCUGUGAGUAUAUACAGGGUCCUGUUGACGCCGAAGUGAUUUAACACCUUGCAUGACUGAACCUUUAACUCAGGCUUGUUUUACACCUUCCUCCCUCAUGUAUGUGUAGUGCAUCAUUGCAUGGGAGAUUCAUGCCCUGGCCAGGGAACUGAAUUUUUCUUCUUUCCCCAAGGAAGUUGAGUUUUCAAUUGCGCUUGCGCUUUAGAAGAGCCCUGCCAGGAAAAUCUGUGCAGUGUCCUCCUAAUUUGAAGGAUAACAAGUUUUGAGGUUUGCUGUCAUGGUCCUGCACUGGCCCUGGCUGACCGCUGUGUUAUUUCAGAAUUGAGUAACCUGAUGACCAAGAAGUAAACACUGAGUGGCUCCUUAUGAAUGUUAAGAAUCCUUGCAGGAGGAUCUCAUGCCAAACACCAUAGUACAGGUCACCUUCAAGUUAUGCAGUCACCUUUAAGGUAUGCUUAACAUCAUCUUCUCGCUCAAGACAAACAUACUUCUUUCCUUGUCAGAAGAACAGGCUCAGAAUCUGUUAUUAAGGCUCUGGUUGUUCAACCUUGCACCUUUGCUGCAUUAG